UACGUAGGGGGCGAGCGUUGUCCGGAAUCAUUGGGCGUAAAGCGCGUGUAGGCGGCCCGGUAAGUCCGCUGUGAAAGUCCAGGGCUCAACCCUGGGAUGCCGGUGGAUACUGUCGGGCUCGAGUCCGGAAGAGGCGAGUGGAAUUCCUGGUGUAGCGGUGAAAUGCGCAGAUAUCAGGAGGAACACCUAUGGCGAAGGCAGCUCGCUGGGACGGUACUGACGCUGAGGCGCGAAAGCUAGGGGAGCAAACGGG
rnacentral:rRNA from 1 species